rnacentral:rRNA from 1 species
GGCAGGCUAGAGUCUUGUAGAGGGGGGUAGAAUUUCAGGUGUAGCGGUGAAAUGCGUAGAGAUCUGAAGGAAUACCAGUGGCGAAGGCGGCCCCCUGGACAAAGACUGACGCUCAGAUGCGAAAGCGUGGGUAGCAAACAGGAUUAGAUACCCUGGUAGUCCACGCCGUAAACGCUGUCUACUUGGAGGUUGAGGUUUUAGACUUUGGCUUUCGGCGCUAACGCAUUAAGUAGACCGCCUGGGGAGUACGGCCGCAAGGUUAAAACUCAAAUGAAUUGACGGGGGCCCGCACAAGCGGUGGAGCAUGUGGUUUAAUUCGAUGCAACGCGAAGAACCUUACCUACUCUUGACAUCCAGCGAAGCCUUUAGAGAUAGAGGUGUGCCUUCGGGAGCGCUGAGACAGGUGCUGCAUGGCUGUCGUCAGCUCGUGUUGUGAAAUGUUGGGUUAAGUCCCGCAACGAGCGCAACCCUUAUCCUUGUUUGCCAGCACAUAAUGGUGGGAACUCCAGGGAGACUGCCGGUGAUAAACCGGAGGAAGGUGGGGACGACGUCAAGUCAUCAUGGCCCUUACGAGUAGGGCUACACACGUGCUACAAUGGCAGAUACAGAGGGCAGCGAAGCUGCGAAGUGGGGCGAAUCCCUUAAAGUCUGUCGUAGUCCGGAUUGGAGUCUGCAACUCGACUCCAUGAAGUCGGAAUCGCUAGUAAUCGUGGAUCAGAAUGCCACGGUGAAUACGUUCCCGGGCCUUGUACACACCGCCCGU